GUGACCUUUGGCUGGCCCCCCUAUGGGGCCAUGGACUGGAGAGCGACAGUUGUUCCUCUAUGUUCCCCUGUUGCCUCCUGUAACUCCGGUGCUGUCUGAUAUGAAGCAGAGACCAGCACAUUGUUCCGAGGUGCCAUGGGCAGCGGAGGCACCCAUCAAUGGUGACAUUAAUUCCUGACUGUUGCUGGCCACAAGGUUGGUCGUCAUCAUCAUCAUCAUCAUCGCAACGGUGAUCAUCGAUAAGAUCUAAAAAUACAAAAAAACAAAAAUUUAGACAAAAAUAUAUAUAUAUAAAUAUAUAUAUCGAUCACGAGAAGCGAUCGGAUCGAGAAGUACACCAACCGCAGGCCUAACCGAGGCAAUGUAUGUCCUGUACAUACGCGUGUAGUUCACAGGCCAGCAUAAUUUGGACCUGUCCAUACAACGAUUCCAAACGCCAUCUGUAUACGUCAUCAGUGUGCAUUUUGUAACCUCGACCACCCUCUUUUUCUCGCUGGUACUCUUCCCCUGCCCCUCGCUUGUCCUUACAAUCCAUCUUCGAGACGGGAAGAUGGCAGCCAAUUUCCUCGAAAAGGACGCCCUAACGCCAAAGGUUUACGGAAAGAAAACUAUAUUAAUCGAUUAAAGAUGAAAAGUCAGAAAGGCAUUACAGAAUAUAUUUUGGGGCAACUGUUGUCACAAACAGAACCUAAGUAAGGCCUAUACCAUGCAGAGGCCAAAAGAAUAGCGAGAAAAAUAUGUAUGCCUAUGUAGAAUUUAAAAAAAAAAUGUUCGGUAUGUAUUUAUUUUUUUUUUCGUUAGUCUGGUUCGUUAGAAAGAGGACUUUGCAAUUUACUUAAACCAUUCUUAUAAUCUAAUCUCUCGUAAAUAUGAAAACCUUCGAACUGUAGAUAAAGAAAAAAACACUUCAGAUUCUAUAUAAAUUUGGCUUCGGAAAAGUUUUUUAAAAUUUAAACCCAUAAAAUAAUAAUAUAACAUAUUAUAUAGCUUAGUUUAACAACUUAACAAUAACUUAUUAGACGAUAAUAUACAUGUAAUAUCAAUCUGAUCUUAGACUAAUAAGCGUAUGAAUCAUGUUAACGUGUAUUAUUACAAAUCAGGUAAACUAGUGAAAUGUAUCCGUAUUAUUCCAAAUAACAAUAAUUCGAAUUAAUUACAGAUAAUGGAGUUGAUGUUUCCCUUGAUCCAGAAUGGCCACGCCAACUAGUGCCCAUGGGCGUUGUAUAUAAACCCUAUACGACUCGUACUCUUCAACACUGGAUAAGUUCGAAUUUAGUAAUAUGUAAAGUUGCGAAUAUUAUUAGACACAUUAAUGCUUAUUUUAUUUCUUUAUUAUACCUUAAACUAAUUCGUGAAUACGCUAGUUAAUUAAAAUAAACAGCAAUUUUGCUUUACUGCUCGCUAUAAUGGAUGAUGAAUUUAAUUUGCAUCAACGUAGGCACGUCUAAAAAAAGUUCACUUUUCGUAUUUCUCGACGUAACUGGUUAGGAAUUUUUUUUUUUAUUAUCUCAUACCUCCCCAGGCUAAGUUGUUAACCAUAUUAUUUUUUGGAUAUCAGAAGGUUUAUCUCACAUAAUAAAUUUAAUAGCGUAGAACCUUAUGUCGAGAUGGGUAACGCGACCUUUAGCAUGCAAAAAAAAAAGUUAAUAUCAUAAAUACUCGAUUUAAUACAUACAUAUUAUAGAUAAAUUUCUGUAUAAUAAAAUCAUUAUUAGGGAUAAUUUUCAUUUUUGUGAUUGAAAAAUUAUUAUUUAGUCUACGUGUAUGUGUAUAUACAGUAUAUAUAUAUAUAUAUAUUUAUAAACUGAAACCAUCUGAUAAGAAUUUCUGUCGAGAUGAUUAUAAUUAAAAUAAUUUAUAGCUGACAUAAAUAAUUAAUCUAGAGUUUUAAUAAUAAAUAAAUAAAUAAAAACCCAGCUGAGAUUAUGUCUUAUAAUUAGAUGAAAUCAUAUAUUUUUUUUUAUUUUUUAAUAACGAACGUGGAUUGAUUAUUCCAUUUAGUUAACGUUUAUAAAUGGGGUGAACCUCCCCACUUUUAGGGUAGACCAAGUACGUAAUCAUUAGUGUUUUUACGGCUGUUAAAAAGUCGACGAAAGAACGUCUUAGGUGUCGUAACUCUGUUAGAUGCCAACAAAUAUGAGUCCUGUUUUAUUUCAUGUCUCUUGUUACUUCCUCUCCUUACCCGGGUUAGCGGUCUUUACAUUAUCCUAAUGAAGUUUUUCUUUGCUUUAAAAUGGCCAUCUGCACACGAAAAGACAUACACACAGUUAAUAAGCAGCGCAUACACAUUGCAGGUUUAUACUUUAGCGAUUCAGAACUUGUGAUACGGUAUAAAACAGGACUUUAGCUUUAUACCACUUCCUCGCUUUGAAUUGGUUAUGACUUAAUCGAGGUCUAAGUGAGGUUGGAAUUUUACAACGUUAGAAAAAUUUAUUACAGUCAUCACAUAAAUUGAAUGCUCUGUACAAAAAUUGAUUGCUUCAACCAUGUUAAAACCGAGUGGAAUUUUUUUUCUUAUUUUUUAUUUGUCUUCUAUUGUGUUUAGAAAAUGACUAGGUGCGACCCAGAUGAGAAUUUCGAGUAUACUUUUAUCUUUAGAAAUUUUUAUAUUGUUCUUAUUAGAAGGGGUUUUUUAAAGAGAAUUGUUAACUCGAUAGAUUUAUGUUGCAUUAUUCGCUCUUUAAAUAUUAAUAUAGAACCUAAGAUAGAUGUUAGAUACCUUUCAGGAGUAUAAUAUAUUAUUAAAUUGAACGAAAGAUAAAAUGCAUAGCUCUUAGACUGUAUUGUAAGCUUUAUCGUAAGACCUGGUGUUAUAGAUUUAAGUGCUUCUUGUAUAUUUUUAAAUAUUCUCGAUAUUUUCAUAAGUUAAAAACUAAAAAUAUAGAAGAUCGCCCCGGGAAGCUACUUUCUGGUUUUCAAAGUUUAACUCCGAGUAACAUUACGGCAUUUAAUGCGUAUCAAUAAAGAUUUCUACUUCUAUUCAUUAGUACUAUUGCACGCAAACUAGCUCUAGCUACACUUUACGAUUCAACUUGAAAUUCAUGAGGAGAGAUAUUCUAUCUCCUUUGAAAUUCCUAUCUUGCAUGUUUGAAAACUGGACCAGUUAUCUGCUAAGCGUCGGCGAUAUCUUGGUUAGGUAAACUGGGCACUGUCCUAUAGAAUCUGGUUUGACUUUACGACGAAUUUCUGUAUUCGCGUGUUUAGUAUAAGUGUUAGGUUGAUUUUCUCAGUAAUCUAUGCAACCAUAAGCGCGCUAAACUGCCCAGAGGUUUCAUUCUUGUCAUGUCUAUAGUCUAGCCCUUGAGGGUUGGGAGAUGUUUGCAAGCUCUCUAUGAAUAAGAGUCUCCCCCCUUUUGAAUUCAUCUCGAACGAGCUUUAGCUUCCACCCCCGCUUUCAUCGAGGCUUAGUUCCCAUUUGGCUUCAUAUACAGACCAUAAACAGCGUACCAAUAAAGCAGCUCCCUAUAAAGGCUAUUCAUAAAAGUCCACCCAUCUACUGACAGCUUUCCCUUUUCAACAAAACCCAGUAAUCUGAAGGGUGCACAUCUCGAUACUGGUGACUUUUACAUAGCAAUGUUGCCUCUGGCGUAGACACUGCCUCCCUACCAUUGAUUCUAGCGAAUAAUACGUCUCGAUACUUGUAGCUAGCUGUUGCGUCAACAUGUACGUAUUCAUAGCGGUAAAUCCACAAGCAAAACACUUCACACCACGCAACCUCAGACUUUCCAUUUAAACACUCCCCAUUUUCGCACUAUCUGUUGUUGAGUCGCUUGUUGAACAUGCACUACAACCUACUGUAAUAUCACUUCUACCAAAUUACUUCUCGAAAUCGCCUGGGACUUUACAAUGCAGUCACGUGUUCGUUUUUAAUAAAACAAACCUCGAUUCACGUUUGGAUGCUCGUUACCCAAUCAGUUCAGCGCAGAAAUUAAAAAGCAAAAAUGAAUUUUUUCUCCCUUUUUUUAAACCUAACCUUUCAAAGUUUGAAGGAGGGAAGAGCCGCCCUCGUCUCAAGCCAAUCGAUACUCUAAUAAAUUAUCCUAAUCGUGAAUCUGCACCCAGUUACAGAACAGUGCAGCAUUUUGCUUUAUAAAAUAUUACCAUUUUUAUAACGGCGAUUUUUUUAAAACAGAAUAAACAUGCUUUUUAUUCUAUCCGGGUUAAAAUUGUGCUUAUUUUCGUGUAUAGAAUGUAACUAAAACACCUGCCUCGUCAAAACUUCAUGAUACUUUCCCGAGGCCAAAUUAUUCUCUUCUUAUUAGAUUGUUUGUAAUGAAAUUUCUUCCUCUUAUCUCGAUCUAACGCAACUUCCUUAUCCGAUUCAUAAUUUUCACUUUGAUCGUUUGUUGCUUAUCACAUGUCUAGGAACUUCAAGAAAAAAAUUAUUUUUUAAUAUAAUAAUAUAUUUAUCACAAUGUAUCCUAUCUAAAUUUUCUAAGACAGGAUUUUGGGUUUUUUCUUUUUAGCAACUAGUCGAGGUCGAAAUUGGACUACUGUAUAUAAUAAUUGUUAGGUUAUUCAUGAACAAUCCCAUUCAAAUCCUUCAGACAGGCGGAAAGGAUAAGGGAAAAAAAUACAAACUAGAUCUUUUGUACGAGGAACUACAUGAAAAUGUAUGGACACUCUCCCAAUCUUUAUUCUUUACUCUUAUUUCUAAACAUCUGCCAAGUUAGACAAAGAAAUCUUAACAUAAGGAAGAGAGAAAAAAUUAAAAAAAAAAGGAAAAGAAAAUUGGAUAUAUAUAAAUAAUAUUCUCUCCUCAUUAUUUCCUUAUCAGAAUUUAUAAAAUAAGUCACUACAAUAAUUUAGUAAGACUUGACAUGUUUAUUUACUCCAUCUUAAACAAACGAUCAAUCCAGACGUGGAACUACUCCGUGCUUACAUUUCACCAUUAAGAUUUCAUCAAAUAGACGAACUGGAUACUAUCCUGUACCCCAUCCUUCAUCACUGUUACAUAUACACUAAGCUAAAAUGUCAAAGGGUUGCAAGAACUAACAUACCAACACGCACCAAAGUGGGUUCGUGCACGUAUAUCACAGGUCCCCGCCACUAAAAGGAAUGGUACAAACAACAACGGACCGUGAAAUAUGGUACGUUUAAAUGUCAAAAGGAUCUCACUAUCAAUCAGCCAUUUGUUCUCCUAAUGGUUUCUACAUUCAGGAAUGCGCUAAUAUAAUAAUAAUAAUAAUAAUGGUAGUAGUUUUAAUUAAUUGUAUAGAUCUCAUCUUAGAUGCUUCGGAUCUCCUUCCCCCCUUUCUGUUUCGGAUAGGAGAUUAAAUCAGAUACUAAAUAUAUUCCACAAUUUUUAUUCAGCAUAGUGUGUUCACUCAAAUUCACUCUGUAUCUAAUUCCUACUUGACAUUCUAAGCACGUUACAAUAAAAAUGGUUUUUGGCUACGUCAUACGCCAGUCUUGUAAUAAGAUCCUCUCUACGGACAAAACAGGAUUCUAGUUAGGGAUGUCAGUUUUUAUCGAGAUUCUAUCUAGACAGAAGUUUCGUUCUAAAGUGGUAGAUGUCACGUUCUGCAGUUUUGAGUUCACUUGCGAAAGCGAUCCUUGAUUAUUAUUAUUAUUCUUUUUUUUUCUCUCCUGUGUGGGUCGAUGCAGUGAAUAUCGAUAGCUAGUAAUAUCAUACAGGUCCUUUUCUUCUAAAAAUAAAAUAACAAAAAAUAAAAUAUAGUGCUAUAAAAAUAUGAUUUUGGCAGGGAAAUUAGUUUAAGAAUAGAUUUAUAAUUCAAUUUAGGAAUUUCAUCGCUAUCCACUACAUAAAUGUAGGCUUUUAUUCGCUGUUGUGUACGACUUCCUUUUCAACUUCAGAAAAAAACGUGACCUUUUUCACAUUUGACCCAACCUCCUGUCACGAAGGAAUUCGUAAUGGAAGAGAGUAUAAGUUUACACACGCGAAUAGGCUCUCCCUUUCUCUGUUACUAUAGGCAAUAUCUUCUACGCUACGAAUAUAUGUUUGUAGUCUCUGAACUUUUUAUUUUAACCAAUCUUCGAUAAACAAGAAUUUUGUAAGAGAGGUUAAGUGAGGAGAUUAAAUUUUUUCACUCGCAUUUUUUUUUAUUCCCAAAGAUAGUCUCAUAUCAAACAAAAAUGGUAGCAUCUACAGGAAUAAAAAUGUUUAGAUCAGCUUCUCUUACAUGCAAACAAAAUUGUUUUUUAUCUAAUCUUUGAUAAGUAAUAAUUAAAUAAAUUUUAAAAUGAUUAAAAUAUAAUUAUUAUUUUCAUUUUUCUCUUAAAUGUAAUUAUAUACAAGUAAUAUUUCUUAACCCUGUAAAGAAAAGAGUAUGAAUUCAUUAUACAUUGUGUAUACUUCUUGAGGAUCAAGAUACAAGAUUUAAAUUGUUUUAUUUAAGAGGUUUUAAUUCCUUCUACAGGAACUAGAUGCAAUUUAAAUAUUAUAUAAUACGCAGAUAAAUCAUAUAUAUUGCUAUUAAUAGGUAUUAUGUUUUGCAGGAUCAAUCUUUACAUAAAUCAAAAAGUAAAACAAAAGAAAUGAUUUAAAAUAAUUAUUCUACUUUUUGACAUUUUUUUGAACCUGUCCUCUAUCCUAUUUCGAGAUAUUAACGUAAAAAAUGAAUGUACUAAGUUUAAAAAAACAUAUAUAAACAUUAUAGUUCUGUAGGUCAAUAGUUUCUAGAUUUAUGCUGUAGAUUCUAAAUAGUCUUCUGUUAAUCAGCCUAACCAUGAACCUAAUGACAAAGGUUAAGUGAAAGAGUAAUUGCUUCUUGUCUUACAUGAUUCUCUUUUAAUCUCCAGACUAGCUUGAAAAAUAUUCACAUUCCUAAUAAAAAAAAUUGCAGCUUAUACAGACCAAAAAAAAAAAAAAAUCAGGUAUCUAUUUUCACAGAUUAGCAGAUUCUAUAUUUGUAGUCCUGAAAUGUUUUUCUAUUAACCAAUCUCCUAUCAUCACGAACCGAAUAAUAGAGGUUAAGUAGAGAAGGUUAAAGAUUGCAUUUCUUUAUUUUUUUUUUCCUUCUUUUUUUUUAUUCUCUCGAUUUUCGUUCGAUCCCCAAAUUACUAACUGGAGACGUAAUCCGCAUACCAAUGAGAUUCUUCUUGGUUUCGGUGGCUAGGAAAUAAUAAUAAUAAAAAAAAUCUAGGCCGAGGAUGCGUUUAUAAAAUAAUUCCAUUACAACUUGACAGUUUAUAACAUAUUCUAGUCAGUUUUAUGAGGCUGAUAUUUCAAGGAAGGAGUGCUGUUCCCAAAUUCGCUUCAAAUACUCAUCUCUUAUAUCAUCUAUAUGUGUGUCUGCCAAUGACAUACCGGAGCAAUAUCGCCAAUACUUCAAGUAUAGAAUUGCUGCAGUCAAGUACAGACUGUGAUUGGAAAAGUGAUUUGCAUUUCGACAGCAACCAUAUACUCCCCUGAUAAACUGUAAAUCGAAAAAUGUUAUUUUAAAAUUGUUAUCUUCUCUCCGAGCGUGUUCGAUAAGGUGCAGAAAAUUAUUAUUCUUAAAACAAUUUAACAGUUUAUUAAAAUGUGGAGAACAAUACAAUAUAGUAUUAUAGCAGCUAUAGAUUUAGAUAUAUAUAAAUCUUUAUAACAAACAAUUUUUUUGGUUUUUUUUUUUUUUUGGUGGCUUUCCUCCUUCGGUUAACAGCAAUUCACUGAUAGGAUGGGGGAUGGAAAAAAAUGGUGUUCUGGAAUUUAUGUGAUGAAGAAUUCACUUGGUGGAAGAAUUAAAAUAUUUCAGUGCACUGACAAACGACAAUGACGGAUGCGGUAUUCAAUAUUACAGAAGGGAGGAGGUUGAAACGGAAUUCGCAUUUUGCACAACGUUAGUUCGUGUAUGCGGGCGGAGUGGUACACCAGGGGAAAUCUGGAUGGCUAUAAAUAAUUCUGAUUUACUCCAACGUCUACAGAUAUGUGGGGGAUAUACAUGAUUAGGACUCCUAUAUGAAAUAUAUUAAGGUGAUUGUUCUCAAUAAAAAUGGUUUAGAAAAACGUCGAAAGAAUAAAGAAGAAAAGAUGCUUUUAAGUAGAGACAGGUGAUUUUUAAAAGAAGGCAAAGUCAUUGUCCUUAAGAUGCAAACUUUGAUUCGUAUCUAAUAUAAUUAUAUAUGACCUAAUUGUGACGAUCACAUAAACAUUUUCGCACAUGCAUGUGCGGAAACGAGUGAUGCCCCUUGGCUAUGUGUUACUCGUUCUGUCCUACAAGUCGAAGAAAAUAUUUUUCACAGGCCAAUGAAACCUCUGCCCUAUAUAUACUCUCUUUCUAUAUAUGUCAUAUAAUGUAUAUAAAUUAUUAGAACAGCGUAUCUUCGUCUCGAGAUUAAAAAUAAAACAUGACUUUCGGCAGAAAAGUAACCUUAUGGAUCAUCCAACUAACUGUCGACCAUAAUUUCCUAUUGCCUAUAGGCAUCGUACCAAUAAGAGUCAAAAAUUGUUUCUAACCUUUAAGUUUUUAACCUUUUUUAAUAACUUCAGGCAUAUUUUAAGCUAUUUAAUUAUCGUCUCGAAUUUCUAGUUUACUUCUUUUUAUUUCUAAAAGAUGUUUUCGAAAUUAUUAAUACGUUAAAAGUAUAUUUUUAUUAUACCGAUUUUUUAAUGUUUGAUUAAGUUUUAAAUAAGAUAGAUCUGCAAACAGUUCGUUUUUAAGGACGUUAAGAGCGAGGAGAAGAAGCCACUCCUUUCCUAAAUGAUAUAGCCAACACUAAACAUCCUUGGUAAAUAAUCUGGAGUCAUCCUUUUGUUCUGUCGAACAUUUCCUGUAUCGCCAACGACACUUGUGUAUCAGGGUAAUUGUUCAUCCACCGAAAUGAUCACAGGACUAAGGAUCUAUCUGACUGUUAGGUGCUCUCGACUCUACUGCUCUCUAUCGCUGUUCUGGUUCCACUUCCAGGCCUGAUAAGUAGAUGAUUUAUCGGGAGACGGUCAUGAUUCAUCUCUCUCUAAUAAUCGGUAAGAUCCGCCUGGUAAUAUGACGCAACCACCUAACAGUGACUUCUCUGGCGGAGUCCAAAUUAAUAGUGGGGAGUGGAUGUUAUAUCUAGCAGCGGCGCAAUUAGGGAAAAAUCUCCACUAGAGCAUUAGCAACGAAGCCCGACUGGCGUAAAAGAUAUAUUAAAAACUUUAAGCUGUUUAACAGUAUGGGUUGUUCACCUUCAAACCAUUUAUAACACGUUAGAUACAGGAUUACUUUAUGCAGAACACCUUCUAGUCAUUUAAAACGGGCAAAUAUUCAGCAACAACCGAAAACUUUCACCCUAAGAGAAUAAGUCGAACAAGCGAACGAAGAAUAGUUUUUCAAUGUCCGAACCUUUACACCUGCAGCAGCCUAUAUGAACAAGAUUAGGGCGAGGAGCAGAACUGCAGGGAUUAUUAAUAUGCGUCUCUGUAUGCAUGAGUGGCACCCCUGAUUUGCAAGUUAUUACAGUUGUCGAUGUGCUAGAAGCGGGGCGAUGUGGAACUGUGGACGUGGAAAUCUUCUACCCCGACCAACCAAUCACAGCUGACACCUUGUCACGUGGUGUGUGUAUAUGUGUGUGUGUGAAUGUUGAGGUGUUUAUACGAACAUAACCUGUGAUUAAUUAAAAUGUCUGAAGACUGAAAGAUGAACUCGUAUCUGCAGCAAAGUAAAGGCUAACGCAUUUAGGAAGAGUGCGAGUUAUGCUUUACUUUUUUUAUAUAUGAUUUUAAACACCACAAACAACUUGACCGCUAUUUAAAAAAAAAAUCUCGGACUUAUAAAAAUAAACAAGACAUUAAAUAGACUUAAUUUGAUAGCUUAGAUGGUCAUUUUUGAGUUAUCGAUUUACGCUAUCAAUUUAAAACGAUAGAUAGAGUAGAGGUGGGCGUAGACGUUAUCCUCCACCUUAUAGCUGACGUUAAAAUGUUGAUUGUUAUGCGUAUCGCGAACUAGUGACUUUUAAAGUACCAGAUACAAGAGAGAAAGAAUAUAAUAAGACCUCCCAAAGAGAUGUUAAAUGACUCUGACAGUUAAAGGCAUAUAAUUAAUAUCGGACACUUUGUUCAUUUUGACAACAUUUCAGAACGGACGGUAUGAUAAAUUAUUCGGAAUUCAAAAAGUGAAAACGAGAUCUUAAGAGAAAAUAAUAAAAAUGCAUCCACGUACAGACAGAUGAAAUUACAUCGGUUAAAACUAAGAAAUUAUUAACAAAUUUAAAAGUUAUCAACAUCCAAAUCGAUAAAUAUAUCGCUGUCUUCUUUCUUUCUUCUUCCUCUUUCUCGCUCUUAUGCAAAAUGGUGGAGUCCGUGUAGUAGCGGUAUCUGAAGAAGUAACCAAUUCACACCGCCUAGUAGAAUAUGUUGAAAGGUUUUACAGUAAACUCUGAAGUAUACUCGAGUGAAAAUAUUUUUUUUUAAAUUAAAGGUAAGUAUUUUCCAAAAUUUCUUACUCAGUUUUAUAAGGUAAUAAACGUCAACUUAAUUCAUGACAUAAUAAAACUGUCUAGAUAUGAAAAUCCCAAAUGAUAUGUAUCCAGAAUAUCAAACUAACUUUGCGAGUGCUGGUGGAUCUGAUCCAACUACCUCCCUAUGUGCUGCAUUGAAUUUUAACUGUGCAUUAUCAAUGGCAGAUGCAUAGACACCUGGAUGUAAGAAGAUCUGGAAUAGGGGGAAGAGAGAAAGAGAAACCCUGAUUGCAUCUGUUGUUCUGUCAAAAGUGGAUUGCUGUUCCUGUAAGCUUUACAGAUCUAUCUACUUUUCUAUUAUGGUUUAUGUACUUGUUUCACUGACAAUUCAAUUAUCGAUACUUAAGUUCGAAAACCGUAAGUCCGAUGAUUAACGCCAAACAAAUAUUACACUUAAUCCGACUUUUCUGUUAAAUAAUCUAGAUUACGACGCUAAGAAAAUCCAUAUUAAUUUAGCGAUUUUAAUUUUACAAGCAACUAUUUCCAUCCGUUAUUUUAGUUCAUAAAUUAUUCAAAUCUUAACAGUAUAUACAUUCGAGCCGUUUGACCUAGAAUGGCCCGAUUUUAUAAUAAGAUCGAUACAUAUUUUAACAAAAGAGAGAAGCCUACCGAAUGAUCGUGCAGCUUAGACUUUACUGUAGUGUUGGUCCUCCUAAUGAUAGUGAAUUUAUCCUUAAACUCUUGCCUCGGGAUGUGAUAAGAAUCAAAUUACUGUUGCCUCUCUUAUUACAAAUGAAAUAUACAGUAUAUGAUAUGUAAUGGCAAAACAGUGAUUACUAUAUAACUUACUCCGAAAUGCAACAAAAGAGCCUUUGUACACGCUUAUGAACUUAUUGUCUUGAUUAACUAAUAUAUAUAGUUUCUGAAUAAUGCAAUAACAAUGGAUAUACAAGGUAUGUUACGGAAUAUAUCAGAUAUAAAAUUUGAUGGCAAAUAUUGCAGAUUCUGCAUGUAAGCAUAGCAUGUAGCAUCCUCAUAUGAAUUUAUAGUAAUGAUUAUAUGUUAUAGAUUUAAACUAUACAUCAUUUGCAUGGGCAGAUGUGUUUACAGCAAUUAUUAAUAUAAACUCAUGAAGCUAUACAACUAACUACACAUGACCUGGUAUUAUUGAUAAUAUUACAUAGGAUAGCAUAGGAUAGCAUACGAAUCAUCUUAGUAUAAUAACAAAGAAUCUAUGUUAGUUUUUAAUUAUAAUUACGAGGAAAUUAGGCUAAAACAUUCUUUUAUGAGCUGAUAGCAAUAUAAAUAUAUUAUCUUCGAACAGAUUUACAAUCUCUUAGAGUUUGAAUCUGUAUUAAUGGCAUAAAAUAUAAGCCCUAACAUUCGUGCGUAUGUGUGAUGUGCAAAUAUAAUAAUCUGAAUAAUUAUAUUUGCAUAUGUGCAGCAUAUAUAAAUUUUGCCUGCACACCGUUUAUGAGUUUCUAGCGACGAUAAUGAUACCGCAUAGAUCUGUAAUAACGUUUGUAUAAAGUUAUAUAGCAUGAUAUGAAUUAAUGAAUGUAUUUGCAACUUAGAUUAUAAUAUCUGAAUAAAGCUAAGAGCUGAUAUUAAUAAAUGCGAGAUAGUUAUGAAGUAUUCGAAUAAGAGCCAUUAUAAGAUAUCUGUAUAGCAUAUGCAUUGAUUUUAUAACGAUUACUGUAUAGUACAUCUAAUUAUUGCAAACGUGCAUAAGUUUAAAGCUUUAAUUGCAUAAUUUUAUACAAUAUUUAUAAAUACAUUCGUAGUUUUUUAUGAUUGAAAACUUCUAUUUCGACGCUACUCAUCGUGAAUAAAUCUGUCAUAGUCAAGUAAACAUCAACAGAUUCAUUUACAGUGCUGCUAAGGGGAAAAAAUGAAUACGGUUUCUUAAGGUAAUGCAGAAAAAAAAGAUGAGGGAGAAGAAAAAAAAGAAAGUCUUUAGACUUAAGCAAAGUAAACAAGCAAGUACGCCGAGGGACAAUAAAGGAAAACUAAACAGUUGCAGCGUUUAAAAACUUGUCAUCGUAUUUCGCAUUCAUACGCAUAACAAAACAACGUCAAGAGGAUGGAAAAAAUGUCGACUGUUUUUUUACACUUUCUUAUUCUUCGUUCCACUGGGUGACCAAGCUGAAAAAUUGAUUAGGAAAAACACCUUGGUAUAAUAUAAAGCAAUAUAAUAUCUUUAAACUUAUACGAAAAUGUUUGACGAUAACCUUUACUUUGCUUGCUUUGUUUUUUAUUUAUUCAUUCAUUUUCUUUCUUUACUGAAAAACAGGAAUCGAAUUUGUAUCUCUCUAUUUGUCUAGUUAAAAAAAAAAUAAUAAUAAUAAAUAAGACAGAAAAUACAUUUGUUUAGCAAAUUUAAAUGUGUUGUACAAGUAAAAAAAAAAAGUAUAUUAUUUAAUGCGUUACAUAUAUAUAUAUAUAUAUAUAUUUUACAAAUAUUUGAAUAGGAAAAAAAUAAUAAUAAAGGUCCUUAAUAUGUAUUAGAUUCUUUCUUUAAGUUAGAUUUUUGUAUUCUUUCAGUUAACACGUUUCUUUUCCCAACACCAUCAAACGUUUUCAACUUUAUAUUCGCUUCAAACUGAAUUGCCAACUACUCACUUUGAAGUGAAUAUAAAAGUUGAAUAUAAACUUAAAAAGUGAAAUGAUAUAGGUGAAUAUGAAUUUGAAUACGUUGAGAUUAUAGGGGGUGAAUAUAAAUUUAGAACGUUCACACGAUAGAAAUGAAUAUAAACGUAAAAAACGUUGAGGUAAAAGAAACGAAUAUGAAUUAAAAAUGUUGACAAAGAUCAUUUCUUUUUGGUAAUUUAAUAAAGUUUUAAGAGCCGAAGAAAUUCGUGUCUUUAGUAGGAUAUAAAAUAUCCUUCUAAAAACGGGUAUCUUUUAUAAGGUUGAUUUAAUUUGUAACCUUAUAAAAGUUUAGAAGAUACAAGCUAUCUUCAGUCAAUAACCUAACUUGGAUUCUGUAUAAGAGUAGUUCAAUUCAACUUGGCUUUAAUAUAAAUAUAAGGGCUUUUGAAAAUUUAUUUGAACAUCGUUUCUCCUCAUUGCGAACAGGAUUUCAUGUUUGGAUUGAAAUUUUACAAACAGAUUGGAUGUUAUCGUACAAUCAUUUCUACAGAAAUAUAUUUGGUGGGGAAUUCAAUUUUACAGAAUAUGUUUGACAGAGAAUCGAUUUAAUUCUAUGCACUUCAGAGCCGAGUUCAAUUAGGAGGUUAUUGUGUGAACCAAUAUUAACUUUACUUCAUAUAUAUCGGAGUUAUUUCUCUCUCUUAUAUCUCUAUAUAGUAAUAUUUGUCUGGGAUUAGUUCUUCUCUUGGAGGAAAAAUAGAGAUGUAACUUUAAAAAGUUUUAGCUGUGUUGGGUCUGCUUGAGGAUUUUCAAAAGUUCAAUGAAUGGUUAGUAAAAAAAGAGUCUAAAUUAAUAGGUUCGACUGUCGAAAUGAUAACAAAUUUGACUAAAAAUAAGUACUUGGGUUGUAGGUUUUCUAUUGAAUUCUAAGGUAUUCUGUUCGGUUACAAUGGACAGAACUGGGUUUUGGGGGAAGAAAAAAGCAGCACUAUUUGUAGAUGUACGGGAUACUAUCAAAAAGUAAAACCAACAAAUUUCCAUCAGAAAGGUGCUCAGACCACAUGUAGACUUAGAUGAAUGAAAUCACAACUUCCAUUUUUCGCUUGCCCGCUCUGCCGGUGCAUCAUGUGACCCGGGACAAUGUCUGAGGCAGUUUUUCACAGUCCCGUCACUCCCCCCGUACCGGGGGCAGCCUGUGGAAAACUGCACGUGCAAGCAGGACAACACAAAAGAGCAGGGGAUCCUAUAUUGACAGCACAAACGUCUUAUCACAUCUGAGAUUUACGGCUAGAGUGCAUGCGUUCACAGUCCAAGAGUCGGGGCCAGAGGAAAAGGCCACAGAUUGGGUUACAGGCCCGGGUUGCCGAGAACUCGCUUAGGAUCAGGUUGCUGCCAGCCAUCUAUUCAUGAUAAUUUUUUCCCCACACUCCAGACAUGUAGAAAAGAGGUGGGUCGACUGUGAAUGGUCGCCAUGAGAACAAAUACAGCGGGACCUCUAGUAUUGCCACCAUGGGGGAACCCAUAGGUGAAGAGAUCGUGUUUCUCUAGUCCCAGCAUGCUACGCGUCCGGCUCUAACACGUCAUCGAUGAAGUGUCGUCUGUCGAGGGUCCCCUCGCCGCAUGCCAUGUGAUCGAUCGUGGUGGACCGCAGAAGACUUCGGCUAACCACAAUUCCCUUGUCUCAUCGACCGGCUACGAUCAUUCCCUGGACACAUGAGGUAACCGAGACAUAUCAUAGCUACAGGCAUCUGGCGGCAAAGUUUAAAACGAAGCAGCCACUUUUCAUUUAACUCCCACCCAUUGGCAACUUCGUCUUCCUUUGCCGACAGAUUGUUGUAGCAUAUUUCUAAACGCGAUUUUUCCUUAACUUCUACCAUUCUAGCAUCUCUAAACUUAAAAAAACAACACAUAAACAACUUAAUCACCUUACAAAUAUAAAUAAACCUUAUCCUCUAGUCGUAUUCUAGUAAUGUAGCCGGACUGUAAAGAUUGUAUUGUUUAUUUUAAUCGGUAAAUUAAGCCUAAACUACUUAUUUUAACGCAAACAAUUUAAGUAAGUAACAUUAGGAAGAGGAACAAAAAUUCGAAAUGUUGCAAUUUUUCUCAUUAAUUCUUUAAUGCCGCCUCGGAUACGGAUCGUAAAUUAAAUUUGGAUCGCGGAUAAUUGCAAGUGUUGCCAACUCGAUUAGGAUCGUAAUCAAAAGAAUAUCUAAAUGAAAGAAAAAAAUAUAUAUAAGUAAAGAAUCUUAAAAAUUCCAAAUAUUAAACGGAGAAGAAGAGAAAUUUAAACUCUAUAACCAUUUAAAUUUUACAGAAUUUUGUGCGGGGGAGAAAUAGGAAAGAAAAAAUUCAAGUUAAUAGUUAUCCGAGCGAGAACAUUAGGUUAAACUGUACUUGUGUUAAGUGCAAUUAGGAAUUGGCUAAAUGUUUGAAAUUACUCCGUUCUUAAGUUCGAUAUCAUUUUGUAAGCCUUUUGCUUAGUUUAAAGAAGGCAAAUUUGUUUUGUGAAGACGAAAAUAUGUGAGACUAUUUGACCAAGUUUUCAACUUAAAAACUGUAUCCCUUUAUUAAUAAUGGUUCGUUAGAAAGUUAAUUCUCACCACAGGAAUCUUCACAUUUGUGGAUGUUCCAAGAAAAGAAUUUUGUUUGCUCUUCUCUUGCACCAAAUUAGAACGUCAAACUUGUGAGCUGAAGAUUGUAGUGAAACAAAUUACUGAAACCUCGCACAUACAACAGCUAGAAAAGCAGGGCCAUUAGGAACAUACCACCGAAAGGUAAAUAGAAGCAUUCUUGUUUUUGUUCAUUCCCAAACAAUGCACGAAACAACACGCUAUGAAUGGUUUGGAAUUCUAAGAUACAGGGACACUGAUGAACAAAUAAACUUUCUAUUUUUGGUACUUAACAUUUUGACCGGGAUAGAAAAUAGGAAUUCCAUAGAGAAAAAGUCUGUAGAUAAUUAGGAUUAGGAACCAGUUGCUGCCUCGUCUAUACCGACUCCAUAAUACGUACGGUACCACAAGAAUUUUCUAAUUAUUCAUAGUUCUUCUGGUGCUAAAUAUAUCAUCAGCUAUUUCAAAUAUUGGUAUAGUCUACAGAAUUCUCAUUUAACUAAUCACUAAUAUGUUCUUUAAAAAAAUCUGAAUUUUAGAUCAGACUUACUAACUUAAACUGUAUUUUCCGAAUUUCUCAUAGAACAACUUAUCUUAAAAAGUAAUUCUAUGUCAAGCAACUCCGGUUAACAAGCAAAACAGCAAUUACUUCAUUCUUUACGCAUCUUUAUCUUCAUUUAAGGAUACUAAGAAUUCCGAAAUUGUAGUUAAAAUAAUGCUGCAACGUCAACUAACAAAAUCUUCAAACCAAUAACACAUGGUGAGAAGUUAAUAACGAAGAUUAAUUUUUCAGAAAACGGAAGAUUAAACUGCUCUUCUGGCGGAUUAACCCAUGCCCUAAUCGUUUUCAUUCAAAAAACGCGGUGCAUAAUUCUAAAAUGCAUAUUAUUUUUUUUAUGGAAAAGAACUUAAAUUUACGCAUCCUCGAACAAAAAUACCAUUAAAACUUACCAAUUUUAUGUAGAUUUUUUUUUCAAAUUUCUAAUCUUAAAUCUUUAUAGACCAAUAACAAUCUUAAACAUAUCGAAAAUAUACCUUAAAAAUCUAUUGAUUAUUAUUAUAUUCCCUCCACUUAAGAAACAUUUUUGAACGUAUAAAUUACAAAUUUUUAUACUUUCAUCUAAAGGAAAAUCUAAGUUAAUCUAUUUAAAGUAUCUUAAUUCUAAGCUAAAAGGGAUUAACUAAAAACAGUUAAAAACUAUAUCGAUCAACUUAGAACGUUAUCUUCUAACAACUACCAUAUAACUAAGAACUUUUUAAAUUAUAAACUAAUUUAUUUUUACAGAAUUUUAUGCCAUAAUCUUCAUUUAAAUAACCACUUCAAUACUUAUAAUCUAUACUCUUAUCUUCGUCUGUUAACGAUAUACAUUACAAGAACACAAAACAGCGAUUAAUUUACCAUCCUAUAUGCCAAAAACUUCUUAUCGUCAUCCGGCAACACAGCUUAGAAUUUCAAACCACAGAUCAUCUUUACAUUUUUAUAAAUUUAUAUAACUACCAAUUUGACGGUAAUGUAUCUUUGACAACUUUCGUCCGCUUCGAUAAGGAAAUUGGUGAAUUAAAAUUCAGUACAUUCUCGAAAAAAAAAAGGAAAAAAAAAAUCUUUUUUUCUCUCCUCUUCAAUCAAUUUAUUU